GACAGAGGAUGCAAGCGUUAUCCGGAUGAUUGGGCGUAAAGCGUCUGUAGGUGGCUUUUUAAGUCUGCCGUCAAAUCCCAGGGCUUAACCCUGGACAGGCGGUGGAAACUACCAAGCUGGAGUACGGUAGGGGCAGAGGGAAUUUCCGGUGGAGCGGUGAAAUGCGUAGAGAUCGGAAAGAACACCAACGGCGAAGGCACUCUGCUGGGCCGACACUGACACUGAGAGACGAAAGCUAGGGGAGCAAAUGGG
rnacentral:rRNA from 1 species